rnacentral:rRNA from 1 species
UACGGAGGGGGCUAGCGUUGUUCGGAAUUACUGGGCGUAAAGCGCACGUAGGCGGCUUUGUAAGUUAGAGGUGAAAGCCCGGGGCUCAACUCCGGAAUUGCCUUUAAGACUGCAUCGCUCGAAUUGUGGAGAGGCGAGUGGAAUUCCGAGUGUAGAGGUGAAAUUCGUAGAUAUUCGGAAGAACACCAGUGGCGAAGGCGACUCGCUGGACAAGUAUUGACGCUGAGGUGCGAAAGCGUGGGGAGCAAACAGG